AUGACGAGGACAAUGUGUUGCUGGUCAAUGCGUUGCAUAAAACUGACUUUCACUGACUUUUUUUUUUUUUCCAAACUUCUCAACUUUCUUGCGACAACAAGCAUGACCUCCUGGAUUAUCUUCCGCAAACCCUGAUGCAUUUCACCAUGCCUUCACAUACCUUGAAUGCAGAUUACUGGUGAUAUGUGUUUGCAUGUGUGUAUUGCCACCAUCACACCAGAGGAUGGCAGAGUGGUUGAUAAGACUUGGCUUCAUGCAGCUUGGUUCCUGACUUUGGCUGCUCUGGAUGUAGGGGAGGGCUUAAACAGUGAGCCUUGGGCCCCAUUAAGUACUACAAAGCCUGCUUAUUUUCUCAAUUCCACACCUCCUGCAUUCGAUGAGUUGUGAGAAAGAAGAGCAGAGGCAAAUAAAUCCGACUCCGAGAGGCAUCUGGUAUCACAUUUCAAAGUAGCAUGCAUUCAUCCAACUGGCUGCCUUGUCCAGGUCUCUGGCCCCCACAAGCAGUUUGUGCAGCUAGACUCCAUGCAUGGUCUGAUCCUCUUGGCAGCCAACGAUGCAGCACGCUAAUGAAGAGUAACUCGUUCCACAUCUGAAACAGUCCUGGCCCUGAUGAACAGCCCGCUGUGAGCAUUUAUUACCCAUGACUUGCAGGGUAUUAUCUUUGACAGUUUCUGUGGUUGGCUGAUUCUUUGUACUCCAGGGCAGCAUGACGAUUUAGUCUGACUGUGACUCUAAAUGUGAUAUUAUCAUUAUUGUUUUUGAUCUAUGCUGACAGCCUAGGUGGACAAAAGGAAGACAAGGUUUAAAGAAGCAACCA